UAAAGGGCUGCAGUAUAUUGACUGUACAAAGGUAGCAUAAUCAUUAGUCUUUUAAUUGAAGACUUGUAUGAAGGAUUUGAUGAAAUAUAAACUGUCUCUGAUUUAUAAAUAGAAAUUAAUUUUUUAAUUAAAAAGUUAAAAUAUUGUUAAAAGACGAGAAGACCCUAUAGAGUUUUAUAAUUUAUUUAUUUAAUUAAUGAAGGUAUAUAUUUAAAUUUAAUAAAUGAUUAAAUUAUUUUGUUGGGGUGAUGAAAAAAUUUAAUAAACUUUUUUUAAUUUAAAACAUGAAUAAGUGAAAAAAAUGAUCCAUUAUUAAUGAUUAAAAGAAAAAAUUACCUUAGGGAUAACAGCGUAAUAUUUUUUUUUAGUACGAAUAAAAAAGAAAGUUUGCGACCUCGAUGUUGGAUUAAGAUAAAAUUUAAAUGCAAAAGUUUAAAAUUUUUGAUCUGUUCGAUCAUUAAAAUCUUACAUGAUCUGAGCU
rnacentral:rRNA from 1 species